GUCCCUCCGCUUCAGCUGAGGUGGCUGCCACCAGGGGCCGCUGUCACAGCAGCACUGGGCGGCGAACGCUGGCUUCUUCCCGCUCGACUUUCUCAGACGCCGGCGUCCCGUCCCUUAGAUGGGCAAGGCAUUUUGCAGAGGAAGAAACUGCAGUUUAAAGAGUGGCUGGCCUGUAGUCAUCAAGCCUGCAGACAGGAGAGGCAACACCCAGACUCAGUGACUGCCUCAGUGUGCUCCAUGUGGACAGAAAGACGGUGAUUGGAACAGUUUCUCAGCCCAUCUGUUGAGCGUCAGAUGGAGGGAAGAGAGAACAGAGUGUCUCUUUGUCGUACUACAGUGCAUCCUGCAGUUCUUCAGAAAUGCUUUCACUGUAUGAGCUACAUGGUUUAGUUCCCAAAGGAAACCCAGACCAAGCCUCACACCUCCAGGCAGCUGAUGAAGAGCAGAUUCCUUCUGACCCUUCCAGCCAAGUAGUGGGAACCAGCCACAGUAAAGAUGAGACUGAAGACAAUACCACUAUCCCAUGGGCUGUGGUACUAGGAAAGAGCAUCCUGAGAUUACCGGGUAGAAGGUGUCAGUGAAAGAUGACAAAGAGACGAGAACUCUGCACACUUGGCUUCUGGGAGCUGGUAAGGCCCAUUCUCUUACUGAAUU